CACGUAGGGGGCGAGCGUUGUCCGGAUUUAUUGGGCGUAAAGGGUGCGUAGGCGGGUUUUUAAGUCAGGGGUGAAAUCCUGGAGCUCAACUCCAGAACUGCCUUUGAUACUGAAGAUCUUGAGUCCGGGAGAGGUGAGUGGAACUGCGAGUGUAGAGGUGAAAUUCGUAGAUAUUCGCAAGAACACCAGUGGCGAAGGCGGCUCACUGGCCCGGUACUGACGCUGAGGCACGAAAGCGUGGGGAGCAAACAGG
rnacentral:rRNA from 1 species